ACUACGGGGGGCAGCAGGGAGGAAUAUUGGUCAAUGGACGAGAGUCUGAACCAGCCAAGUAGCGUGAAGGAUGACUGCCCUAUGGGUUGUAAACUUCUUUUAUAAAGGAAUAAAACGAGGCACGUGUGCCUUUUUGCAUGUACCUUAUGAAUAAGGAUCGGCUAACUCCGUGCCAGCAGCCGCGGUAAUACGGAGGAUCCGAGCGUUAUCCGGAGUUAUUGGGCGUAAAGAGUGCGUAGGUGGCACGUUAAGUCUGGUGUUAAAGGCUGAGGCUCAACUUCCGUAGGGCACUGGAUACUGGCGGGCUUGAGUGCGGUAGCGGUAAGGGGAAUUCCUGGUGUAGCGGUGAAAUGCGUAGAUAUCAGGAGGAACAUCGGUGGCGUAGGCGCUUUACUGGGGCGUAAUUGACACUGAGGCACGAAAGCCGGGGUAGCAAAUAGGAUUAGAUACCCCAGUAGUC
rnacentral:rRNA from 1 species